rnacentral:rRNA from 1 species
UAAUUAGUUUAUUAUUAUAUUUAAGUAUAUUUAAUAUAUUAAUCCGAACUUUAUUAAUUUUUUAUUUAAUAAGUUUGAUUCUUGCUUAUUUAUUAGUUUAUUAUAUGAUUUAUAUGUUUCUUAUUAAAUAUUAAUUUUUGCAGUAAAUAUAAUUGUUUAUAGUUGAUUAUGUAUAAUUUGCAGUAAUUUAAUUAUAAUGGAUAAAUUUUGUGCCAGCAUUCGCGGUUAUACAAUUCAUUAAAAUUAAUAUUUUAUUUAUUGUAAUUAUUAAUUUGUUGAUUUUAAAUAAGUUUUAUUUAGGUGGAAUUUAUAAUAAUUUUUAUAAUCUAUAAUAAAGUUUAUUAAAUCAAGAUUUUAAACUAGGAUUAGAUACCCUAUUAUUUUUGUAUUUAAAUUUAUUAGUGAAUAUUAUUAGUUAUGUUCUAUAAAACUCAAAGAAUUUGGCGGUAAAUUAUAUCUUUUUAGAGGAGCCUGUAUUUUAAUUGAUAAACCACGAUAUUUUUUACCUUUAUUUUAUUUGUAUAUCUCUAUAUUAGAAUGUUAUUUAAAUAUAUUUUCUUUAAUUUUAUGAAAUUAUUUUAGGUCAAGGUGCAGUUUUAUGAAGGUAAAUAUGGGUUACUUUAAUAAUAAAUUUAUAUUAGUUUUUUCUAUAUUUAUGAUUUAUAAUUAAUAGGAUUUAAUAGUAAUUUUAAAUAAUUAUUUAUUUUGAAUUAAGUUUUAAUUUAUGUACAUAUCGCCCGUCACUCUCUUU